UACGGAGGGGGCUAGCGUUGUUCGGAAUUACUGGGCGUAAAGCGCACGUAGGCGGCUUUGUAAGUUAGAGGUGAAAGCCCGGGGCUCAACUCCGGAAUUGCCUUUAAGACUGCAUCGCUAGAAUUGUGGAGAGGUAAGUGGAAUUCCGAGUGUAGAGGUGAAAUUCGUAGAUAUUCGCAAGAACACCAGUGGCGAAGGCGGCUCACUGGCCCGGUACUGACGCUGAGGUGCGAAAGCGUGGGGAGCAAACA
rnacentral:rRNA from 1 species